rnacentral:tRNA from 1 species
GAGGGUAGAGCUCAGUGGUAGAGCGUGUGCUUAGCAUGCACGAGGUCCUGGGUUCAAUCCCCAGUACCUCCA